rnacentral:tRNA from 1 species
GGGCUAUUAGCCCAGUUGGUGGAGCGCGCCCCUGAUAAUUGCGGGGCAGGGUCUCGGGUUCAAAUCCAGGAUGGCCCA